GGUGUGGUACUUUAAUUUAGAAGGGUUGAUUUGCGUUCGAAUAGAAGGGGUUUCCUUCCACACU
rnacentral:tRNA from 1 species